AUGCGUGACAUUAGCUAGUUGGUGGGGAAUCGGCCCACCAAGGCGACGAGUUCUAGGGGUUCUGAGAGGAAGGUCCCCCACACUGGUACUGAGACACGGACCAGACUCCUACGGGAGGCAGCAGUGAGGAAUAUUGGUCAAUGGGCGCGAGCCUGAACCAGCCAAGUCGCGUGAGGGAUGACGGCCCUACGGGUUGUAAACCUCUUUUGUCGGGGAGCAAAUUCCGCCACGUGUGGCGGAGUCGAGAGUACCCGAAGAAAAAGCAUCGGCUAACUCCGUGCCAGCAGCCGCGGUAAUACGGAGGAUGCGAGCGUUAUCCGGAUUUAUUGGGUUUAAAGGGUGCGUAGGCGGACUGUCAAGUCAGCGGUAAAAUACGGGGGCUCAACCUCCGCCCGCCGUUGAAACUGACGGUCUUGAGUGGGCGAGAAGUAUGCGGAAUGCGUGGUGUAGCGGUGAAAUGCAUAGAUAUCACGCAGAACUCCGAUUGCGAAGGCAGCAUACCGGCGCCCAACUGACGCUGAAGCACGAAAGCGUGGGUAUCGAACAGGAUUAGAUACCCUGGUAGUCCACGCAGUAAACGAUGAAUAAUAGCUGUCCGGG
rnacentral:rRNA from 1 species